AUCAGAUCAUGGCUUUAGGGGAGGGGCGGUCAGCCACCACAAAUGCGGCGGCAUUAAAAGAUAGAGUGGAAACGAGGCCUGGCGUGAGGUCACCGCUUCACGCGGCGCCGCGAUCGUAAAAGGGACUGCGUGUGCAGCGGGGCUGAGGUGAGGUGAGGGUGGGCGGUCUCAGCGUUCACGGUCCCCGGCAGCCUCGCCCGGCUCCGGGGGUGAGCUGCCGUGAGCGGGAACGAUCUCCGGGUCCGCCUUUUUGCCUUAAGCAACGUUAGUUUAACUUCAGUCACUGUCCUCCCCCGCGGCGUGGCUGAAAGGCUGAGGUGCUCUCCUUAGUGUUUAAAUGGAUUCCCCUCCUGAUGCUUUGCUGCUUCAGUGUAACUGCAUCCCCGCCAAGGCCAUGAUGAAGGCAGCCCUUCCAGCUGGCUGCAUGGAUGCCAGAAGUGUCAGAUAAUGGAGAAUGGGACACCACAUCCCCCCCUCAGUUCUUGGAAGCCCUUCUCACCACCCACAUGGUGCUGGCAAGUCCCUGCUGAUGACAACUUCUGCAAGGCAGAGGCAAUGAACAUCCAACGUGAAACAAAACUGGGAAAAGGAAAUAGAAUAGGGCUCAGACCAUAAUAGCCUGGAAUUUUAUGUAUUUCU
rnacentral:lncRNA from 1 species